rnacentral:ncRNA from 2 species
AUGAGAGAUAGAGGUGCGAUUUUUAAGAGUAGGAUUGCAGAGGAGGCACGAUGAAGCAAUUUGAAAGGGAAAAUCGCCGAAGUAUAUAGUAUUGCCAAAAUGCUAUAUGCUGGUGUUGAGUAGAAUAUGCUCAAUACUGUCACAAGUAUUCAUGGAAUAUUUGUGGAGUGCUAUCAGCAAA